rfam:Picea glauca, whole genome shotgun sequence.
AUGUACAUUCUUACAACAUAGUGUUAAUGCAUCAUAUCCCAUUAGAACUCUACAGUUAAGCACACUCGGGCUAGAGUAGUACUGGUAUGGGUGGCCACUAGAGAAGUACUAGUGUUUUACAUG